CAUUAAUGUUCUUCCAUCUUUUAAAUGACAGUAUCCCUCUGAAGAAGAUAUGAUUGAAUGGGCCAAGAGGGAAAGUGAGAGAGAGGAAGACCAGAGGCUUGCCCGACUAAAUCAGCAAGAGCAGGAAGACUUAGAACUGGCUAUUGCACUGAGCAAAUCUGAGAUAUCAGAAGCAUGAAGAAUUCUCCUGUUCUUUGUCAACCAUACAAUAUUCUUCUUCCUGAAUACUGAAGCUCUUUACAGUGUGUAUCAAAACUACCUAUGAGCAUGGGAAUACAAAAGGUUUGAGAUUCCUAUAAAUGUGACAAAAGUUUGUUUUUGUUUCUAACUCCAUUUCAGAUUUGUCUUCCUGCCCCCCCCCGCCCCCAUCAAAGCAGUAACCCAGUCAGACAACAUCACCUAUGCUCCUGUUCUGAUGUGUAUUUACUGUGAGCUUCUGCCUGCCUGUGCUCCUUUUACUUGUAAAUCUAGAGUACCCAAGCUUCUGCCUUCUGGAAUAUAGAGAAAUAGUUUCAUCCCUGUGCUACCCUUGUUCUGUAGUUACUCUGAUGAUAGCCAGUGGGUUUCUUAAAGUUUGCAGUAUUCUUUGAUUUGAAUGGUUGAGGGAGGGGAAGGGAAAGAACAUCCUAUUUCUUUGAUGAUAGUGCAAAUUGGCUAGUUUAAAGCAUAUGUUUGUAUUUCCUUAUAAUUAAAAUACUGUUCAGUUUGUUUUUAUAGGAAAAAUACUUUGCAUAAAUUGACUCCACUAUUGAAAAAGGGAUGCUUUAAGGUUGAACCAUUAUAGCUUCAGACUCAAUCUUUUCCUAAAUAAAAAUGUUAAAGCCUCAUAUGUGAAAUAUAUUUUUAAAAAAUUUUCUCUGGAUUUAAAGAAUUUUAGAUGAACAGAUACCUCUCCAUAAUUUUAAGUGCUAGACAGUGGAGAAAAUCUAUCACUUAACAUAUACCCACCAGUGUAAGGUAAGCAAAAAUCUAACAUAGCAGUUGUUCUGCCAUUGCUCUGGCACUGUCCCCUUUAGUUCAUGGUAGGUUUAUUUUUGUACUUUGCAGAAGAAACUUCAGCAUGUGAGAACUGGAAGGUACUUUAAACUUUUUUAUAUAUAUAUUUUGUUUUCUUUAAUGAAGGCUCACUUACUUGAAAUGUAAAAACUUUCACCGAAUACAAAUGGGAAAAGUGAUGUGUAUUAAAUCAUAUUAUUGCUUUUUGUCCAUCUUUGUAUUUUAAUCUCUUCCUGGUUUUUACCUAUAAAAUUGGCGGGCUAGCAAAAAAAUCCUGUUUUUUUUUAAUUGAGAGAGAAGAGACCUGUCAAAUUGUCAAAGCUCUUCAUGUAUUAAAAGUCUAUCUCCUGUAAAACUGACCUAGCAGGCAAGCUGAAUUUGAAAUAGACUGUGAUGUAGGCUGUAAACUGUGGAAUAACCUUAGUUUUCUUUUAACAUCAGUUACUGACUUAGGUAAUGUAUUAAAUACCAAGAUAAAGAAAAAUGCACCUACAAAAUAAUUAAAAGUCUCUGUGGUCACCAAGUCAAGGUGGUAUUGAUCUGUGUUAAUCAGAGUAACUUAUUGCCUAGUCUAUGAAUAAAUUCCAAAAUAUCCAAUUCAUUUCAUCUUGAAAUGGUGCUUUUUUUUCCUCUCCACACACAGCUGGACUGCUGCAGUUUAAAGCAAACUUACACCACUUUCUUGCACGCUAACUUUUUUCUACUUUUAUAAAUUGAAACAUUUCAGCAUAAAAGUCCUACAUAUGAAGCAAGGGCUGAAUCAUCGUAAGGCUUUAAUUUUGAUAAACUAAUCCAGUGGCCUAUGGAUAUACCGCUAAAAGUUGAUUGAGAAGGUAGUGUUGGGAGCUGUGAUAGGUAGUCGUUUUGGGGUUUUUUUCCCCUUCCCCUUAUACUUCAGGAUAAAGGUAAGUUGACUUGAAUAACCUUCUUUUGCACUGGGAAAAUGAACAGAUGUUUGAAAUGCUUUUAAAAUAUUUUUUUUAAUUAAAAAACCACUCUGGAAAGUAUUAAAUAUCUGUAACUUAUAAACACCAAUCUUCAAUGUAAUAAGUAUACCCUAAUCUUCUGUAUGUUUAACUGGAUUACACAGACUCUUAUCUUUUGUUAAAAUAUGUAUACUCAGUGGACCAAUAUAAUAUUAAAGUAUGUAUAUAUUAUAUAAAUAUAUAUAUCGCUCUUUCUCUCCAUGCUCACUUGUGGAGGAUGAAUGUUUUAGAGUCAUUUGUGAUUACAUUUUACGUCGUUGACUCUGGCUGCAGAGCCUGUGCUUUCAAAGGACAGACAAGUAUUCCUGAGAGCUCAGUGGCACUACUUACAAAGUUUUAACCACCUUCUACAUACUUGUUAAAGUUUAGUUGGGCUCUCUUUAAAGAAUUUUCUCUUCUGUUUCAAACUUCUAAAUUGUAGCCUGUAAUUAUGAGAACAAUAAACUUUAACAAUAAAGCAUACUAUCCAUACAUUCUAUUUGAAAUGGAGUUUUGCAGUUCUCUGUUAUGUCCAUGCUGUGUCCAAGGAGGGGUAGGUAUACAAUCAGCACAGAUUAAUAUGUGUAAAGUGCUUGAGGCAGUGCCUGGUGUAGAAUAAAUACUCAAUAAAUGCUAUUAUUUUUAGUUAUUGUCCUGCUUCUGUGAAAGAAAGAUGGAAAAUGUAUAUGCAUAGAGACAGAGCCUGAAACACAGAUGGUUUGUAUAUAUUUGUUGAGUGAGGAUUUGUGACAUGGAUCUUAGGAGGGCACCAUGGUAUAAAAAAUUAUUUACAGUCCUGGGAUAGAAUCCCUAGUCUACCAUUUUUGAGAAAGAUGACUUUGAGAAACUUAUCUAACCUCCCUGAGCCUCAUUUCCGUCAUCUAAUGAAUAUCAUACUUAACUCAUGGGAUCAUUCUGAAGGAUUUGACUUUGGCAGCUUUUUAAUAUUACAUAUUUUAAUCAAACAAAGUCUGCCAUGUUAUUAUUAGUAGUGAAAAUAGCUAUUGUUUUCCUUGUGGCAGCAGUGCAAAAGUUGAGUAUGGCAGGACAGGCAUUUAGAAAGUUUCUUUCCCUCUUUGACCAAGUUUUAGUUGAAAGGAGUGCAGCUGAAAUUGUAACCAAAGGAGAGGCAUCAUGCUUCCAGAAAAAUCUCAAGGAAAAAUCCUGCAAGCGACAGUAGUAGCUGUUGGAUCAGGCUCUAAAGGAAAGGUGGAGAGAUUCAACCAGUUAGUGUGAAAGCUGGAGAUAAAGUUCUUCUCCCAGAAUAGAGGCACCAGAGCAAUUCUACAUGACAAGGAUUAUCUCUUAUUUAGAGAUGGUAACAUUCUCAGAAAGUAUGUAGACUAAAACAAGUCAUUGUUGAAAUGAUUUUCAUGUGAAGGAAGCUGCCCAUUCCACUGAAGUAAGGUCUGAAAUCU